GUGAGUAACACGUGGGUAACCUGCCUGUAAGACUGGGAUAACUCCGGGAAACCGGGGCUAAUACCGGAUGCUUGUUUGAACCGCAUGGUUCAGACAUAAAAGGUGGCUUCGGCUACCACUUACAGAUGGACCCGCGGCGCAUUAGCUAGUUGGUGAGGUAACGGCUCACCAAGGCGACGAUGCGUAGCCGACCUGAGAGGGUGAUCGGCCACACUGGGACUGAGACACGGCCCAGACUCCUACGGGAGGCAGCAGUAGGGAAUCUUCCGCAAUGGACGAAAGUCUGACGGAGCAACGCCGCGUGAGUGAUGAAGGUUUCGGAUCGUAAAGCUCUGUUGUUAGGGAAGAACAAGUGCCGUUCAAAUAGGGCGGCACCUUGACGGUACCUAACCAGAAAGCCACGGCUAACUACGUGCCAGCAGCCGCG
rnacentral:rRNA from 1 species